rnacentral:tRNA from 1 species
AAGAAUUUAAGUUAUUAAACUACUUGCCUUCAAAGCAAGAAAUGAUUAAGUCAAUUCUUG